AUACGUAGGGGGCGAGCGUUGUCCGGAAUGAUUGGGCGUAAAGGGCGCGUAGGCGGCCCGGUAAGUCUGGAGUGAAAGUCCUGUUUUUGAGAUGGGAAUUGCUUUGGAUACUGUCGGGCUUGAGUGCAGGAGAGGUAAGUGGAAUUCCCAGUGUAGCGGUGAAAUGCGUAGAGAUUGGGAGGAACACCAGUGGCGAAGGCGACUUACUGGACUGUAACUGACGCUGAGGCGCGAAAGUGUGGGGAGCAAACAGGAGUAGAUACCCUGGUAGUCCACACUGUAAACGAUGAAUGCUAGGUGUAGGGGGUAUCGACCCCUUCUGUGCCGCAGUCAACACAAUAAGCAUUCCGCCUGGGGAGUACGGCCGCAAGGUUGAAACUCAAAUGAAUUGACGGGG
rnacentral:rRNA from 1 species